rnacentral:rRNA from 1 species
AUUGAACGCUGGCGGCAUGCUUUACACAUGCAAGUCGGACGGCAGCACAGAGAAGCUUGCUUCUUGGGUGGCGAGUGGCGAACGGGUGAGUAACAUAUCGGAACGUACCGAGCAGUGGGGGAUAACUAAUCGAAAGAUUAGCUAAUACCGCAUAUCUUCUGAGGAAGAAAGCAGGGGACCAUUUGGCCUUGCGCUGUUUGAGCGGCCGAUAUCUGAUUAGCUAGUUGGUGGGGUAAAGGCCUACCAAGGCGACGAUCAGUAGCGGGUCUGAGAGGAUGAUCCGCCACACUGGGACUGAGACACGGCCCAGACUCCUACGGGAGGCAGCAGUGGGGAAUUUUGGACAAUGGGCGCAAGCCUGAUCCAGCCAUGCCGCGUGUCUGAAGAAGGCCUUCGGGUUGUAAAGGACUUUUGUCAGGGAAGAAAAGGGCGGGGUUAAUACCCCUGUCUGAUGAC